rfam:Puccinia sorghi strain RO10H11247 Scaffold_453, whole genome shotgun sequence.
GCGCCGUUGGUGUAGUGGUUAGCAUUGAAGCCUUCCAACCGGAAUCAGCUUUAGUCCGGGGUUCGAAUCCCCGACGGCGCA